AUGAAAAACUCAAACCGGCGCAGCUAAGCGCCAAGGAAAAUAUCGAAAUACAUGAGCCCUCUAUCGGGUUUUAUGGCAUGGGGUGCUGUUGCACAUCAUGCGGUUGACAUGACUCUCGGCAAUGGAUAUCUCGGCUCUCGCAUCGAUGAAGAGCGCAGCGAAAUGCGAUACGUGGUGCGAAUUGCAGAAUCCCGCGAACCAUCGAGAAUUUGAACGCAAGUUGCGCCCGAGGCCAGCCGGCCAAGGGCACGUCCGCCUGGGCGUCAAGCGUUGCGUCGCUCCGUGCCAAUUCUAGCCCACCCAACGGGUGCGUCGGUCGAGGCUCGGAUGUGCAGAGUGGCCCGUCGUGCCCUGGGGCGCGGCGGGCUGAAGAGUGGGUCAUCGUCUCAUCGGCCAUGAACAGCAAGGGGUGGAUGAAAAUUGUGCCUGUGCUGCGUCGUGGCGGCUCGAGAAGAGAUUAUACCUUGCAGGUGAUCCCAGCCCAUGCGCCGGUCCAACGGUCGGCGGCUUGGAAUGCGACCCCAGGAUGGGCGAGGCCACCCGCCGAGUUUAAGCAUAUCAU
rnacentral:rRNA from 1 species